rnacentral:lncRNA from 1 species
UAAUAAACAUCAUCAGUUUAAGUAUAACAUGUGCUGCUCUUGUUUGGAAAAUGGCAAUUAUAGAUUUACCGUUUGCAACUAAGAAAAUUGUAAUCGAAAAGGUACAAAGAUAUUGUGGAGAAUUAGAACCUAUUGAAGUGGCAGACAAAUUGAAAUAAGUGUAUUACAGUAAAUGAAGAUGAAUGAAUGCUUUAAUGUAGCGCACGUAAUCGUAAUGAAGAAAGAGAGGUUUUUAUGAACCUUAAUGGUAGAGAAAAAUAAAUAUAAAAGAAACUUUUAUUCACUUGUAUAUUAGAGAGUAAAAUACAUGGUAUAUAUAUAAGAAAAAGAUUAAAACCUAGCUGAAACAGAAAAAUAAAGUUUGAGUCAAACAAACAAAGUCCAAUAAUUUAAAAUAAAAAAUUAAAUAUAUUAACAACGUCUAAUUUUUGAACUUGUGACUCAGUCUUAUGAUCGAACAUUCAGUUCUCGGAUGUGAGCAAUCUUUCCCCAGUCUUCGCCAUCUGGAUUCUGACAACGUUCCUUCAGCAAUGGACAACCCCAGAUUGUAAGAGAAGAAAUGGAUUUGGGGAGAUCCUCUGCUGGUAAGCAUUGAAGGCUGGGACAUUCAGAAAGUGUGAGAGAGGACAGGUGGCAAAGACCCUUGUAGUGCAUCUUUUUAAGAUUUGGACAACAAUGGAUUUGUAGAAAGGUGAGAGAGCAUGGCAGCAAAACUUCAUCGGGAAAACUCCACGUCCAAAUUAUAAAUAAACAAGGUUUCAAGACAUGUGUUGGGAUCCAAGGUCUCUAUCAAGGAGGCGAUAAGUUUUAAACAUGAAAGAGACAUAUUUUUAAUAUUUAAUGGCAAACCUCCAUCUGGAAACAUCUCCACUUGUGGACACUUAGUUAUCUUCAGGCUGGUAAGGGAUGGAAACAAGAUUUGCAUUGGUUUGGGAAACAUGAAUGAUUUAAAUUGAAGGCAAUCAUGAAUAUCUAGAUACAUGAGAUGGUUAUGAGCGUACUCCUGUGAAAUUAUUCUUAGGUUUUGGCAGCUUCUCAUUUCAAGAGAACGCAGCUUUGGAAAGAAAUCUACCUGAAAGAUUGUAAGAGAGUCGAAGUCUCCAUCGAUAUGCAGGGUUUCAAGCGGCGAUGUGUCCAUACUGUUUCCACUAAUUGUGAGCUCAUCACUAACAAUUAGUUUCUUUAAAUGAGUACCUUUCAGUUUUGGACAAAUAUACACAUAAAGCUCUUGAAGACGUGGAAAAGACGUAGUUUUACACUCCCAUUCUUCCCAUUCUGAUGGCAGCCUGUAACUAGGCUAAACUCCAGAUUAAGAAAAUUCAAAAAAAAGGAGAAAGAACUGAUGCAAGUUUUCUGUGUAUAUCCUCUUAAUGAAAAUUACAAGUAUUUAAAUAUGCAGAAUUCGUAACUAACCACUAAUCCUAUGAUGACCACUCCACUGAAACAACUCCUAACUGAUAGCCAUGUUCUAACCACUAAUACCCAUGAUGCUAAAAACAAAGAAAAUGCAGUAACCAACAAAUGAGGAAAAUAUGGUUGAAUUAGUCCAACAGCUUUAACGGCUUCUUCAGAGUCCUCUUGGGUCGAGGUGGCGCCCGUUGACCUGGUUCCUUGGCCUUUUGGAUCGCAUCAACUGCCCGCCCCCCCCCCCCCCCCUUUAGAAUCAGCUCGUCCUCGAGCUCAACAGGGAAAUUCGGAAAACGGAGGCAGAGUUCUUCAAACGGUUCCCAAGUUGCGGCCGUAAUAUCCUGAUUUUUCCAAGCAACAAGGACUUCUAUUUUCCCAAGUUUGUGACGAGAAUCCAGUACGUGGCUUGGUUGAGGCUCAGGAACAUCGUCUGCAAAGAACGAUGGUAAAGGGACUGGAUUGGGAUUCCCCUUGGCUUUACAAAGUAAUGAAACAUGGAAAACAUUGUUUAUCUUUGCGUUUUUGGGGAAGCUGAAGUCGAUACGCCACAUUUCCAAUGCGCUCAAGUAUCUGAAAUGGCCCAAAAAACCGUUUGGAGAGUUUGUGACUGCGGCGAUGCUGUACGGAUGUCUGGCGAUAGUGCUGCAGCUUGAGAAAGACCAUGUCGCCGACUUGGAAUUGUUUGUCCUGCCGAUGCACAUUUGCCAAACUAACCAUGCGUUGUUGUGCUUUUCUCAAGUUAGCUUUGACAAUCGACCGAAGCCGCUGUAAUUUCGAGAUUGUUUCAUCCACUGACGGCAUGGGAGAGUCUCCGGGUCGGUAACGGAUAACGUCUGGAAUGGGCUGUCCAUACAAGGCCUGAAUGGGACUCAUGUUAAUAGAGGAAUGGUACGAUGUGUUGUACCAAUAUUCCGCUAAAUAUAAGUACCGAUGCCAAUACUUCGGUUCAUCACCUGCAAAACAACGCAAAUAAGAUUGUAAACAUCGGUUAACAACUUCGGUUUGUCCGUCGGUUUGAGGAUGAUAGGCUGUGGAAAACUGGAGUUUGGUGCCAAUUUGUUUAAACAGUUCCUUCCAAAUGUUGCUGAGAAAAAGCGGAUCCCGAUCAGUGACAAUACUCCGCGGCAUACCGUGUAAUCGGUAGAUGUUUUGCAAGAACAAGGUGGCUAACAGCACAGCUCCAAAGUUGGGCGGAAGAGGAAUGAAGUGAGCGAAUUUGGUGAAUCGAUCUAUUAUCACCCAAAUGGCGGUUUUGCCUUGUGACAACGGUAAGUGAGUAAUGAAAUCCAUCGACACAUCUUGCCAAGCAUUCGCGGGAAUGGGCAACGGCUGUAAAAGGCCAUACGACUUAUGGGUAGGGUAGUUAACUUGUUGGCAAAUGUGGCAUUGUUGUAUGAAAGAGGUAACCUCUGAUUUGAGUUUUGGCCAAGCGAAAGUGGAUGCCAAUCGAUUGAUCGUGGCCCGGAUGCCCGAAUGACCGCGGGUUGGGGAAUUAUGAAAUUCCUGGAGUAGCAAGGAUCGAAGAGCUGGCUGGAAAGGGAUAAAUAAUUUGCUUGAGUGAAAAAGCAACCCGUCCUUAAGGGUAAAACCCGAAGAGUUGGACAAGCAGCGUUGGACUAAGUGCUUCCCCUCAGCUGUCACAUAGAACUUCCUUAAUUCGACAGUCCAUUUUGGGUCCGAGAAGGAAACGGCCAGAAUCUCCACAGUGGGAAUUCGGCUUAGUGCAUCCGCGACUGCGUUUUCUUUGCCCGGUUUGUAGCGAAUUUCAAAGUCAUACCCGAUAAGUUUUGUGGCCCAUUUGUAUUGCUCUGGGGUUUGGACUACUUGUGUCAGCAGAUGUUUGAGACUUUGCUGGUCGGUGUAGAUGCAGAAUUUGCGACCGAGGAGGUACUGCCUCCACUUUUUGACUGCUUCAGUUACAACAUAUAACUCUCGAACAUAAGCGGAGGCCAGCUGCAUUUUGGGGCAUAAUUUCUUGCUAAAAAAGGCAAUGGGGCGCUCCAUUUGGGAUAAGACAGCCCUAACGGUCACCGUGGAAGCGUCGGUGGUGAUGUCGAAUGGUUCUGAAAAAUUUGGGAGUGAUAGAGAGACCAACGAAACCAUGGCUGAUUUCAAAGCACUGAAGGUUGCCUCACUUUUAGUUGACCAUUGAAAAACUUGGCGCUUAAGGAGAUCCGUUAACGGAGCUGCGAGCCGAGCAUAAUGUUGCACGAACCGGCGGUAGUAGCCCGUCAAGCCUAGAAAACCACGCAAGGUGGGGAGAUUGUGAGGGGUUGGCCAGGCUUGAAUAGCCUGAAGUUUGUCCGGAUCAGCUUCCACACCAUGGGCAGAUAUGAUGUCACCCAAAUAUGCAAUGGAUGGCACUGCAAAAGUGCAUUUUGAUGCCUUAGCAAGGAACGGGUGUUGUGAAAGUGUCUCAAACACUUGCCGUAGGUGGAGAUAAUGUUCUUCGGUGGAACGGCUGUAGACAAGAAUAUCAUCAAAGAACACCAGCACAUGACGUCGCAAUCUCGCUCUGAAAAUGUCGUUCAUUGUGGCCUGGAAUGUGGAAGGGGCAUUUGACAACCCAAAUGGCUUAACCAAGAACUCAUAAUGACCAUCGAUAGUUCGAAAAGCCGUUUUGUGUGUAUCUUUCGCUGCAACCCUGAUUUGGUGAUAACCUGUGGUAAGGUCGAUUUUGGAGAACACUGUUGCGCCAUGUAACUCAUCAAGGAGCUCAUCCACCGUUGGAAUCGGAAAGCGAUCUUUGACAGUAAUGGCAUUUAAUGCUCUGUAAUCGACGCAAAAACGCCAAGAUCCAUCCUUUUUCUGAACCAACAAAACUGGUGACGAAAACGGGCUCUGGCUUGGUUUGAUAAUCCCGUCUCGGAGCAUAUCAGCAAUCAAUUGGGACAUAAUCUGCUUCUGGUAGUGUGGGUAACGGUAAGGGCGGACGCUUAUAUGGUUGGAAGAUGGGAAAGUGGGGAUGUGGUGGUUGUGUGAUCGAACUGGGGGUAGGUGUGUGGGCAUAGGCGUGGAGCAAUUGUUGGAAAGCGGGAGCAUCGUGUGUUGGAAUUUCUGGUGAAUUGAGGGAUUGCUGGUCGGAGACGGAAAAAUAGAGAGCGUGGAAGGAGGCAACACUGUGUUUCGAGAUUAGGGUGUGUAAGGAGGCGGGGGAUACCUGGGUCGAUAGAGGUUCGCCCCGUAGGGUAAUAGCUUUUGGGCCCACAUUGAAAGUGAGUUGGGGAAUUGCAAAAUCCGCUAAGACUGGGCCAAGAGUUUGAAGCCAGGCGAGUCCUAGGAUAAUGUCCGCCCCGGCUACAGGUAAAACAAAUACCGGAAUGUUGAAGCUAGCAUCCUGUAUAGCUAGGGAAAUGGAAGGGCAAACGGCUUGACAUUUGAGGGAUUCACCGUUUCCCACCAUGACAGCAAACUCGGGAAUGUCUUGUUUGGGUAAGUUGAGGAAGGAGACGAUGCGUGGUUGUAUGAUAUUGUGGGUGCUACCCGAGUCAAUUAAGACUUGGACAGGUUUGUUGUUGAUGAAACCUGUGACACGCAGGGCUUGGGCCGAAGAGAGGCCAAAGAAGGCAGCCGAUGAAAGGGCGAAAAACUGGUUAGGGUUGGUGGGUUGGAGGGUGGCAGGGGUGGGAAAAUUUUCGGUAGAGUUUGUGUUGACCUCAUCGUGAUCGAAUGGUUCAUUAUCCGCAAUUAGCAGAAAUUGAGGCGGAUUGCAUUUGUGACCUGGGUAAUAUCGCUCAGGACAGCGAAAGCAUAAUCCGUCGCUACGUCGUUUUUGUAAGGCUUCUGGUGUCAAUUUGGUGAAUGGAAGUUGAGGUUUAGGGGUGGUUAAAAGUGGAGGGUUCCCUGGCUUUGGGGAAUUGGUGGAAUGGGUGAAUGUGGCGGAAGUUGUAGUAGGUGAAAUAAUUUUCAGCCUGGAAAAUCCAAUCUAACGGAUUGGAGCCAUCAAACAAGGGAAGGGUGAUUUUUGGAGGAUGUGGGUUUGGGUUGGUGGAAGUAGAGGAUUCAGCAUGAUGGAAGAUGGGUUUGUGAGGUUCAGGUUUGUUCGGGUCUGUCAGCUGGGCUAUGUGAUUAACGACGCGGGCUGUGGUCUCAGUUUGGGUGUCAAGUUUUGCAUUAAGGUUGGAGGUAGCUUGGACGAGGUGUAGAAGUUGGGUGUUGAUGUCGGAAGUGGUGAGAACAGUUUGGGUUGUAACUUGUAUGAGUUGGGCGAAUUGGUCGGUUAGGGAAGGUGGGGGUUCGUCGGUUGUGGAAGUGUCUUUUCGGGGAGGCAUUGUGUCGAAGUGAAAGCACCAAAUGAUAGCAGCCUGUAAGUAGCCUAAACUCCAGAUUAAGAAAAUUCAAAAAAAAAGGAGAAAGAACUGAUGCAAGUUUUCUGUGUAUAUCCUCUUAAUGAAAAUUACAAGUAUUUAAAUAUGCAGAAUUCGUAACUAACCACUAAUCCUAUGAUGACCACUCCACUGAAACAACUCCUAACUGAUAGCCAUGUUCUAACCACUAAUACCCAUGAUGCUAAAAACAAAGAAAAUGCAGUAACAACCAAAUGAGGAAAAUAUGGUGGAAUUAGUCCAACAGCUUUAACGGCUUCUUCAGAGUCCUCUUGGGUCGAGGUGGCGCCCGUUGACCUGGUUCCUUGGCCUUUUGGAUCGCAUCACAUUCCUUCAUAUUGUGGAAUUCCAAGCUCUCCAAGGAUGCAAAUGAAGAGUUGCUCCCAUAAAAUUCAGCACCAAUGCUCACUAUUCCAUCC